AAUAUUGGACAAUGGGGGAAACCCUGACGCAGCAACGCCGCGUGAGCGAAGAAGGCCUUCGGGUCGUAAAGCUCUGUCAUAUGGGCCGAAAAAAAUGACGGUACCAUAAGAGGAAGCCCCGGCUACCUACGUGCCAGCAGCCGCGGUAAUACGUAGGGGGCAAGCGUUGUCCGGAAUUAUUGGGCGUAAAGGGUGCGUAGGCGGCCUUUUAAGUCAGGUGUGAAAGCCCACGGCUUAACCGUGGGAUUGCAUUUGAAACUGGAGGGCUUGAGUAUCGGAGAGGGUAGUGGAAUUCCCAGUGUAGCGGUGGAAUGCGUAGAUAUUGGGAGGAACACCAGUGGCGAAGGCGACUACCUGGACGAAAACUGACGCUGAGGCACGAAAGCUAGGGGAGCAAAC
rnacentral:rRNA from 1 species